rnacentral:rRNA from 1 species
CCUACGGGUGGCAGCAGUGAGGAAUAUUGGUCAAUGGGCGCGAGCCUGAACCAGCCAAGUCGCGUGAGGGAUGACGGUCCUACGGAUUGUAAACCUCUUUUGCCGGGGAGCAAGCGUGCGUUCGUGAACGCACGUCGAGAGUACCCGGAGACAAAGCAUCGGCUAACUCCGUGCCAGCAGCCGCGGUAAUACGGAGGAUGCGAGCGUUAUCCGGAUUUAUUGGGUUUAAAGGGUGCGUAGGCGGGAUGCCAAGUCAGCGGUAAAAAUGCGGUGCUCAACGCCGUCGAGCCGUUGAAACUGGUGUUCUUGAGUGGGCGAGAGGUAUGCGGAAUGCGUGGUGUAGCGGUGAAAUGCAUAGAGAUCACGCAGAACUCCGAUUGCGAAGGCAGCAUACCGGCGCCCUACUGACGCUGAGGCACGAAAGCGUGGGUAUCGAACAGGAGUAGAUACCCUUGUAGUC